AGAGUUUGAUCAUGGCUCAGAUUGAACGCUGGCGGCAUGCCUUACACAUGCAAGUCGAACGGUAACAGGUCUUCGGAUGCUGACGAGUGGCGAACGGGUGAGUAAUACAUCGGAACGUGCCCGAUCGUGGGGGAUAACGGAGCGAAAGCUUUGCUAAUACCGCAUACGAUCUACGGAUGAAAGCAGGGGACCGCAAGGCCUUGCGCGGACGGAGCGGCCGAUGGCAGAUUAGGUAGUUGGUGGGAUAAAAGCUUACCAAGCCGACGAUCUGUAGCUGGUCUGAGAGGACGACCAGCCACACUGGGACUGAGACACGGCCCAGACUCCUACGGGAGGCAGCAGUGGGGAAUUUUGGACAAUGGGCGAAAGCCUGAUCCAGCCAUGCCGCGUGCAGGAUGAAGGCCUUCGGGUUGUAGACUGCUUUUGUACGGAACGAAAAGACUCCUUCUAAUAAAGGGGGUCCAUGACGGUACCGUAAGAAUAAGCACCGGCUAACUACGUGCCAGCAGCCGCGGUAAUACGUAGGGUGCAAGCGUUAAUCGGAAUUACUGGGCGUAAAGCGUGCGCAGGCGGUUAUAUAAGACAGAUGUGAAAUCCCCGGGCUCAACCUGGGAACUGCAUUUGUGACUGUAUAGCU
rnacentral:rRNA from 1 species